UACGGAGGGUGCAAGCGUUAUCCGGAUUCGCUGGGUUUAAAGGGAGCGUAGGUGGGUUGAUAAGUCAGUGGUGAAAUCUUCGAGCUUAACUCGGAAACUGCCAUUGAUACUAUCAGUCUUGAAUAUUGUGGAGGUUAGCGGAAUAUGUCAUGUAGCGGUGAAAUGCUUAGAUAUGACAUAGAACACCAAUUGCGAAGGCAGCUGGCUACGCAUAUAUUGACACUGAGGCUCGAAAGCGUGGGGAUCAAACAGG
rnacentral:rRNA from 1 species